rnacentral:rRNA from 1 species
UCGAGAAUCUUCCACAAUGGGCGAAAGCCUGAUGGAGCGACGUCGCGUGAUUGAUGAAGUCUUUCGGGAUGUAAAGAUCUUUUAUGAAGGAGAAAGGCCGCAAGGCUUGAUAGUACUUCAUGAAUAAGGGGUUGCUAAACUCGUGCCAGCAGCAGCGGUAAUACGAGUGCCCCGAGCGUUAUCCGGAAUUAUUGGGCGUAAAGGGUGUGUAGGUGGCAGUGUUAGUCGUGUGUCAAAGCUCCCGGCCCAACCGGGAAAAGGCAUACGAAACGGCACAGCUCGAGAGUGUGAGGGGUCUAUGGAACUCAUGGUGUAGGGGUGAAAUCCGUUAAUAUCAUGGGGAACACCGAAGGCGAAGGCAGUAGACUAGCACAUUUCUGACACUGAAACACGAAAGCGUGGGUAGCGAAUGGGAUUAGAUACCCCCGUAGUCCCUGAGCGGGCUGGCAAGGCGCAU